GAAUCAAACAUGAACACAGAGUAUACAUACAGGUGAUGGCUACGAUUCGAUGGAGCCUGAGAUCUGGCUGUUGGAAUUCACGAAGAUGGAAGCAGACACCACCAUAAAGUCAGUCUGAUCGAUGUCGUCACAGUCCCACAUCGAAACUUCGACGUUAUAGACAUGGAGUUUAUAAGAAAGAAGAAAAGAGAAGACAUUGUCCCUUCGGGGACAUCCGAUAAAAUUGGAACGAUACAGAGAAGAUUAGCAUGGCCCCUGCGCAAGGAUGACACGCACAAAUCGAGAAAUGGUCCAAAUUUUUUUCUAUCUUUUUGCUUCGACAAAUUUGCAGCAGAAGAAUCGGAGAGCUAGGGUUUCGUAUACUUUUUUGCCUCAAUUUCUUUGAGAAAUUGGUACAAUCAUCGAAGAGAUGGCCUUUCUUUUUGCAGGAAUGUAUAUGUUGUAUGUAUUUCGCUAUCUCCUUGAUGCCGAUGACUUCAGGGACAUUCUCUUCAUCAACAGCACCUGAUUAGUAACUGUUUACAAUUGAUUCUAAAUUCAUUUUUAUUUUUAUUAUUGUUUUUUCAAAUUUAAGUUUAAUAUCCUCUUCUUCUAGACUUAAAAGCUACUAGUUUUGUUUCAAUUUCGUUUGUCCAGAAUGAGUGACUUUCUAGGGUUUAAACGAGCUUGGAAAAGGACAAAUCACUUCAAAGUUAAACUUUUGUUUCUGACUAAAAGUGGUGAGAUUUGGUCUAUGGAUGGGGUUAAUUGUUUCUGAACUUGGCCUCAUAUUUGGAUUCUAUAAGACCAAAUCUCAUCAUGCCCUAUUGUUAUCUUGGAUAUUUAUUUUCAUUUAUUCGUGUACACAUAUGCUUAUGCAUACCCUGCAUCCCCUCAAGCAUGACGUGUUCACACCACUACUUGGUCUAGUUUAAUUUGGAUCUGUUUGAACUCUAUGGAGUCUCUAUGAUUUCAAUAAAUGUCUAGCUUGAAUCCUGAAGAUGUAGUAGAAUAAACUGUAUACAUGGCAUUUCUUAAGCCCUUCUGGUAUGCUUGUGGGCAAUGUAUCAACAACUAAGGUUGGAGUUGUAUGCCGUGCACAACACAUUUCAAUUACAAGGCACUGAAGGAAAUCAUCAAACGCACCCUUAUUACAUCUCUCUCUUCUCAUGUGAGAAAGCCUUAUAUUGCGCAAAGGCAAGGGGUAGCAUGGCGUAUGAAACCAUCAGCCACAAUUACUUUACAAGCUGGGGGAAACUCAGGCUGAUCCCCGAAAUAUAUAUAUCUUUUCUUGCUAAUCCAAUACAAGGUAAUUGUGUUGGUUAAUUAUAAAGGUUUGUGAUCUGCCUUUGUUUGGGCUAAUGUUUAGGUUGUUUAGGAUUGAGUCCGGAUCAUCUGCCGUCUUUUUCUGCGGCUGUCCCUGCAUGGACCCUUCCUUUUCCUAUACCCAUAAUAGAAUACCGUUCCAUACCUGACCAAACAAGCAAUCCCUCUCUCUUCUUCUAAUUCUGAUUCUUCUGAACUACUUGUAAUAAAGUUUGCAAAGUUGUGUGAUGGAAGUUAAUAAUAUGGGUUUAUUGGGUACUGUUGGUGGGGGUGGAGGAGGGUCAUCUGGGGGUUCGAUAAAUGGUGGGUCUAUGUCGACGGUGUGCAUGGAUGACAACCUCGUCUUGACUUCUGAAGAAUCUUCUUCCUACCCACGCCCAGAUGAGUCUGAGCUCCAAUUGGGUCUUGGCUUGAGCCUUGGUGGUGUUGGUGUUGGUGCUUUGAAGUCUAAAUCAUCAUCCUUGACCCUAAACCCAACACCCCGAUGGGGUCAAUAUGCUAGGAUCUUGACUUCUCAAGACUUCUGUUCGCCCGCCCCGUGCCUUCUCCAUUCGUCGCCUCUCUAUUCGCCUCUCUGAAGAGGGGUUAGGGUUCAAAAGCUCAAAUGGGGCUGAAAAGCAAAAAGAGAGAAGAAAGGGAGAGGAAAAAGAAAAAAAAGGAGGUCCAAAACGACUUCGUUUUGGAUCACCUCAUGGACGGCCGCAGGAAAGCGCGGCAGAUGAUUCGGACUCGUUUAGGAUUUGCCAUAUGCUUUUGUUUUGUUUUCAUUAUUCUUGGAUAUUUGUAUUCAAAUAAAGAAUUUUGCCUUACCUGUGUUUGAUGUUUUCGCAAACAAUCAUACUUAUUUUUGUUUUCCUUUGUGUUUCAGAAAGACUAGUUAUGUAUUCAGGGAGUGGUGCGUAGGGCGGGGGAACAAUAAACAACAAAGAAGUUAUUUUUUAAUUUUUAAAAAUUAUUUCCUUUCCAAAAAGGAGAAAUCCAUAUGAAAUUAAUGAGUUUUUGUUUUUUUCAACCAAAUUAGCUUUUGAAAAUUUUUCAGAAAAUAAAUUCUUAAGUUUCAACCAACAGAAGCCUCCUGCAAUCAACGCCACACCUUCUGGUUUGCUGAUGGAUUUCUUCAGUGAACUUCGGUGUGCAAUAUAUGUGAUGCAAAUGCCAGCUCUGACACCUAAGUUCAAAAUCACAGAACUCGAAGCGUUUGUCUGGCUUUGAACUUUCUGAGUACUUUAGACUUUGUGAUCAAGACGGUUUAUUGUAUGUGUUCAUUAAACGUUGAUGUAUUCUACUAAUUAGGCAAUUUCUAGUUUAUUAGGCAUAAAAAAGUAUGUUUUGUGCUUGGCACAUGCCUAGAAGAACACGUAGUUGUAUCAAUAUGUUGAGUGUGUACGUCUACAAUUGUAUGGGUUGAUUAGGUCCCAUUAUAGAGAAUCAAUUUAGAUUAACUUGGCUUACACUGAAAGAUUUUGAUUGUCUACGAUGAUUGUUUUAUCCAUAUGUUGCUUGCUUAAUAUCAUAAACUGGCUAUUCAUCUU